rnacentral:rRNA from 1 species
GACGAACGCUGGCAGCGUGCUUAACACAUGCAAGUCGAACGGAAAGGCCCUGCUUUUGUGGGGUGCUCGAGUGGCGAACGGGUGAGUAACACGUGAGUAACCUGCCCUUGACUUUGGGAUAACUUCAGGAAACUGGGGCUAAUACCGGAUAGGAGCUCCUGCUGCAUGGUGGGGGUUGGAAAGUUUCGGCGGUUGGGGAUGGACUCGCGGCUUAUCAGCUUGUUGGUGGGGUAGUGGCUUACCAAGGCUUUGACGGGUAGCCGGCCUGAGAGGGUGGCCGGCCACAUUGGGACUGAGAUACGGCCCAGACUCCUACGGGAGGCAGCAGUGGGGAAUAUUGCACAAUGGGCGGAAGCCUGAUGCAGCAACGCCGCGUGCGGGAUGACGGCCUUCGGGUUGUAAACCGCUUUCGCCUGUGACGAAGCGUGAGUGACGGUAAUGGGUAAAGAAGCACCGGCUAACUACGUG